rnacentral:ncRNA from 1 species
GGUUAAGUUAGAAAGAGCGCAGGGUGGAUGCCUUGGCACUGAGAGCCGAAGAAAGACGUGAUAAGCUGCGAAAAGCUGCGGUAAGGAGCAAAUAUCCGAUGACCCGCAGAUAUCUGAAUGGGGAAACCCGGCUGAGCAAACCUCAGUCACCGUAUACUGAAUACAUAGGUAUACGGAGGGAACCCGCUGAACUGAAACAUCUAAGUAGGCGGAGGAAGAGAAAGAAACAUCGAUUCCGUAAGUAGCGGCGAGCGAACGCGGAAGAGCCCAAACCGUUGUGCGUGCACGACGGGGUAUGGACUGCGAUAUGGCAGUGUAGAAGAUAGUAGAAGGGUCUGGGAAGUCCCGCCAGAGAGAGUGAAAGCCUCGUACAUGAAAUCAGAAACACACCUAGCAGGAUCCGGAGUACCACGAGACACGAGAAACCUUGUGGGAAGGCGGAGGGACCACCCUCCAAGGCUAAAUACUACUCAGUGACCGAUAGCGCAUAGUACUGUGAAGGAAAGGUGAAAAGGACCCCGGGAGG